rnacentral:siRNA from 1 species
AGGAUACAAGGAACGGAUGUGACC